UGUACAAGGGUUGUUGUGAAUUUUGCAGUGGAGGUCGUGCUGUUGGUGCUUGGUGACUUGCAGAGAUGCCUCAUCAUUGCUGUGAACCUGGAUGUACCCAGGACAGUAGCGGAAGGGUAGCUGGAGAGCCUGUAUCCUUUCACUCCUUUCCCAAAGAUGAAAAAUUGCAUCGCGAGUUGAUUGUGAAAAUCCGUCGUGAUGAAGGCGAGGAAUUUCGUGUUGGCGACUCGACCAAAGUCUGCUCCAUACACUUCGAGGAGGAAUAUUUCUCUACUGGAGCUCGCCGCCGUGCUGAGGAGAAGAAGGCUACCUCCAUAAAGUGGAAGAACUUGAAGAAAGAUGCUGUGCCAACUCUCUUCCGACGUUCAACAAACCAGCGCUGACUCGAUGCCUGUAAUUUUGGUCUCGGCUGCAACCUCACUACUGAACACUAGCAGUCGUGGCAUCUACUACUACCUGUGCUGAGUACAGCUCGUCACAGCUUGAGUAGCGCAAGUAACAUCGGACAAAGUAGGCACAGCAGUGUCAUCCCUAUCAGAGGAUGCACUUUCAUCUGACGGUGACAUGCUCUCGUCGCUGGAUGACUGCUGGGCUGUCAGCCAAGUGGCACCACCGUACCGCUUGACAUUGCCAGUCUUGUCUACUGCUACUGUAUGAUUGUGAGAUGCUUGCAGGUCUUUGCGCAGCUUCUCUAGCUCUCCAGGCUCCACAAGGCGCUUGUUAGGAGGCACAGAGUUGAACAAGGCUUUGGCAGGUCAUUGACGUUUUGAGCCAAAGGAAGGCCUGUGUAGUCAGACAUCGAUCACACGUCUUGGUUCCUCCUUUCUUGUGCGCGGCCUGCUCCACCUGCAGAGCCGCGAUGUCGGCGACUCCUCAUCUUCUUCACGCAGACCGAAUCUUAUGAACUCAUCCUCCAAUGCGUACAGUAGGGCAGCUCCAUGGUUACAACAACCGCCCAGCCCAGCCGCACAGGUGCACAGAGCAACCUUCACCGUUCCAUCAUCAGACAAACCGACUUUCACCCUGUAAGGGUCUGUCCUCCUCACGGACAGCAGAACGUCGCUCCGUACAUAGCAGGCACCGGCACUCUCUGCCCCGUCAAUGCUCUGCACGUGGUCAGAUUUGAAAACAAUUGUACCCUUGUCCAUUCCCUGGAACGAGGAGAACAGGUCAACAUGACAAAGUCAUAAUGGCGCAAGGAUAGCAGUUUGGACGUGGAGGUUGUUGCGCGUGGCUUCACCCAGGACUGCCAGUCGAAAACUCGAAGAGGUAUCCCAGUCUCUGGGUGUUCUCCAUGGUGGUGAAGGUACAUGUAGUGGUGUCGCCACAGAGAUUGGUGACAGUGAUGAUGAUGAAGAGACCGCGGUAGUGUGGAGGGGGAGGAGGAGAAUUGACAGAGCGACUAUCAACAAUGAUCAUGGCGGGCUGGAGGCUUCUCGAUGACACUGUGUAGCAUAGGGCAUAAUAACAGCGUUGGCGCCCACCUCCGGACAGUUGCCGCCCGGGCGAACUCACGCAUUGGACUGCUGCACACGGCAGCUCGAGUCCUGCACGGUCCUGGCAAGCUUGGUAUGUACUGUAGCUUUGUAAGACUGCUGCUUGAGUACUCUCUGCUUGCCUGAAUGCGACCUGCUCCCGCCAACCUCCAGCACCUAAAGCUCGCUCAGCGACGGGCCCUGCACAUCCUGGGGCCCAGCGUGCUACUGCUGAGCAUCGAGGCAAGGAGGACAGUGGCAGUAUUGUCGUUCCUGUACAAGCUGCUGUGCCUGCAAGGUCCCGCUCUACUCACACCAAUGAUUACUCCCCGUCGCAAUGCUCCUGCCGAGCCUGUAACUUGCAGGCAAUGUCGGCAAACCGCUGAUCACCCAUACCAGUAUGCUAACACUCUCCCCUCAACUGCUCCUAAUUCCCUUCAGCGUACAUUUCCGUUCCACAUCAUUGACACCUAGAACACGCUCCAGGCUUCCCUAUUCACCACACCGCCAUCCCUGAAGAUUCUCCAAGCUUUAAGGCAAAUGUGCACCGCCAUCUUCGCCGUAGCCAUUGGCUUUGGGCCACUGACUUUCUCUAAGAACAAAUAUCAGGAUGCAUAUGUAGCGUUGGCACGCUGGUGACUUUCACAGCGUAUGGCGUAUAGCGUAUCCCCGUACGUUACUGUAUCCCCGUACGUUAGCGUAUCCCCGUACGUUAGCGUAUCCCCGUACAUUAGCGUACGGAGUCUGCCUGUGUAUAAAAGCUGCUGCUCACGAUUCUUUUCAUUGCCAGUUAUAGUUACAUUUCAAAUGCCAGUUAAUUUACCUUCAUUUCAGUUCAGUUCAAUUUUUAAUAGACAACAGUGUGUUCACUGAGACCCUUGUGUAUUCUUGCCUCCGAGAGACUGCGGCCCGCUACAAAAUUGGUGGCAGCGGUGGGAUUUGAACCCACGCCUCCGGAGAGACUCAUACUCGAAUCACGAGGACGUGCUUGUAUUUGAGAGGGGAGGUGUAGCGUAUAGCAUGCAUGUAUAGCGUACGACGUAUUUAGCGUAUCCUCGUACGUUAUCGUAUCCCCGUACGUUAGCGUAUUCCCGUACAUUAGGGUGCGGAGUCUGCCUGUGUAUAAAAGCUGCUGCUCACGAUUCUUUUCAUUGUCAGUUAAAGUUGCAUUUCAGUUCAAUGUUUAAUAAAAUAAUAGUGUGUUCACUGACACCCUUGUGUAUUUUUGCCUCUGAGAGACUGCGGCCCAUUACACAUACUUCCCAGUCUAGCAUUUAUGUGCUCCUGCCCUCUACCCCAGAUCAUGAAUACAUCUUUGCACUCGCAUGCUCACAUUUCACAAUAGUUCCCUCUAGCUCCAUUCUGUCUUCUCUCUUGUCACAAUAAUCCCCUCUCUAUUUUGUCCUCUCCCUAUAGUACAAACUCUCGCGGUAUCGUCGAGACCACAGGUCGGCGCUGUUGGCUUGCCUCGUCAGCGCAGGUUCCUUCUUGGUAUAUACAGAAGCCUUGCUUGGUAGUUUAACAUGUUUUUCGAUUUUGACAGCAUGUUACAAGGCGAGGACGCGUAGUGCUCCUGACUACAACCAUAACCCGGUUGGCAGAGUCCCGGUCUUGCGACCAUUUGAACCGUA